ensembl:lincRNA Gm43001 predicted gene 43001
CUUUGUAGUCCACCAUUAGAGCCCCAGCUAUAGCAACAAGAAGGUUGUGCCCAACCGCUCAGUGAGGUCUCGGGGAUGACCCACAGAUGGGUCAUCCAUGCGAGUGAAGGAGAGGCUCCUGGGACACGAGGCACUAUGUAGGGUCAGUGGCAGUAAGGGACAAUAACAGUGUUGAGGGCUGAGCUAGGUGUCACUCAGAGGUGGACUUGAUGUUGGAGAUGUCAGGCUUGCUUGACACUGGCCUUGUGGGGGUGGCAUUCUGGGACAGGCAAAGCAAAGAGGCAUCUUCAGUAGUGAGGAGCCGAGCCAGCCCAGGGAGAGCAAGCAGGAGUCGGUGGAGCCAGUGGUUGACAGUGUGGACUGCGGUAGCGGACAGCUGGGUUUAAGACCUGGGCACAAUGGAGGAUUCUCUUCAUCUUCCUGUGCCUGUUUCUUCACAAGAGGGAAGUGACUACCUUCUGAGGAGAGCACCUUUGUCUUAAAGCCAAGGACGUGAUCCCACCAUCCAUGUCAAGGACACUCUCUCUGCUCCAGGCAGGAAGCAAACCUAUUUAUAGACUAAGCUAUGUGCUGGUCUAGGUCAUCAAUAAAUUGCUGCCAUUA